rnacentral:rRNA from 1 species
GUGGCGGACUGGUGAGUAACGCGUGAGGAACCUGCCUUCCAGAGGGGGACAACAGUUGGAAACGACUGCUAAUACCGCAUGACGCAUUGGUGUCGCAUGGCACUGAUGUCAAAGAUUUAUCGCUGGAAGAUGGCCUCGCGUCUGAUUAGCUGGUUGGUGAGGUAACGGCCCACCAAGGCGACGAUCAGUAGCCGGACUGAGAGGUUGGCCGGCCACAUUGGGACUGAGAUACGGCCCAGACUCCUACGGGAGGCAGCAGUGGGGAAUAUUGGGCAAUGGACGCAAGUCUGACCCAGCAACGCCGCGUGAAGGAAGAAGGCUUUCGGGUUGUAAACUUCUUUUAAGGGGGAAGAGCAGAAGACGGUACCCCUUGAAUAAGCCACGGCUAACUACGUGCCAACAGCCGCGGUAAUACGUAGGUGGCAAGCGUUGUCCGGAUUUACUGGGUGUAAAGGGCGUGCAGCCGGAGAGACAAGUCAGAUGUGAAAUCCACGGGCUCAACCCGUGAACUGCAUUUGAAACUGUUUCCCUUGAGUGUCGGAGAGGUAAUCGGAAUUCCUUGUGUAGCGGUGAAAUGCGUAGAUAUAAGGAAGAACACCAGUGGCGAAAGCGGAUUACUGGACGAUA